AAAUCAAUGGGAUUAUGUUGUGUUCUUUGAAAUCAAAUGGAAUCUUUUUUUGAACCUGAUCAACUUACCCAUAUACGUUUCUUCUUAUGAGCUCACGAACUUAUAAAUUCACAUGCACCUAGAAAUCUGUCCAACAGAUCGAAGAAGAACAUGUAUGAGGUAUUUCAAAUCACGGUUCUUAUUUCUCUUCCUUAAUGUUGGGUUUUUAUUUUUUCUCUAUCAAAAGAUUUUUGUUGGUGCACGACAUAUUCCGCAACAUCCAUCCUAGGGUGAUGAGUUGCAAGGGGAUGUACCAAAGAACCUAAUCUGGAAAUUCAAUGCCUUGCUUCGGGUUGGUGACGUGUAUUUAGUAGAGCAGAAAAGUAGGAAAUCCUUUGAAACGGACUAUCAAGAUAAUGAAACAAAACCAACAGCUGCAAAAUAUUGAAGAAACAGGAAAUAGAAGGAAAAUCACGACAUAACCAACAGCUGUACUUGAGCAUUUAUUUAGCUUACCAGGUACUCAAUUGAAUUAUUGUCAAGACAGUGCAAGUUGGAUGUUAGGAUUCCACUGUUUGGUACUAUUUGGCUGCAACAAGUGCACGAAUAAAGUGGUUGGUGCGAUAUAAUUUCCCUCAUUUUUGUGUUACAGGCCAGCAUCCAUCUCAAGUUUCAUUUAUGUGUUACAGCUUUUCGAAAUGCAAUUUAUGAAUUGGAGUAGGUUUAUAGCUGAGUCUAACUAUUAUAUCCAACAGCGUUGCAGCGGCUGUGCAAUGCUGGAGCACCAGUAUAUCUGGGCGACAAGAUUUUUGUGUCAUUGACUAUUGACAUGGUUUCCAGGGUACGUCGUUUAUCAAGUCAAGAAAUAGUAAAUAAUGGAAGAGCACCACACAAGCAGAACCAGAUUUCUUCAUGGGAGCAUAUUUUCCUUUUUAAUUGAGAUAAAAAGGGUCUGUAACGAGUUCUAUUUUUCUUUUCAACACAUUGAACCAGAUAUAUGAGUCAAUGCAAUCCGUCUCUGUUUAGCAAACCCCUUUUUCUUGCUGUGUUGUAUUCAUUGAACUGAUCAAUGGAAGUAUUGAAUUAAUUAGUGUUGUAGUAACCAUUUAUCUUG